rnacentral:rRNA from 1 species
GAUGAACGCUGGCGGCGUGCCUAAUACAUGCAAGUCGAGCGAACGGACGAGAAGCUUGCUUCUCUGAUGUUAGCGGCGGACGGGUGAGUAACACGUGGAUAACCUACCUAUAAGACUGGGAUAACUUCGGGAAACCGUAGCUAAUACCGGAUAAUAUUUUGAACCGCAUGGUUCAAAAGUGAAAGACGGUCUUGCUGUCACUUAUAGAUGGAUCCGCGCUGCAUUAGCUAGUUGGUAAGGUAACGGCUUACCAAGGCAACGAUGCAUAGCCGACCUGAGAGGGGGAUCGGCCACACGGGAGCGGGAACACGGUCCAGACUCCUACGGGAGGCAGCAGUAGGGAAUCUUCCGCAAUGGGCGAAAGCCUGACGGAGCAACGCCGCGUGAGUGAUGAAGGUCUUCGGAUCGUAAUACUCUGUUAUUAGGGAAGAACAUAUGUGUAAGUAACUGUGCACAUCUUGACGGUACCUAAUCAGAAAGCCACGGCUAACUACGUG